rnacentral:rRNA from 1 species
UGCAAGUCGAGCGGACCGACGGGAGCUUGCUCCCUUAGGUCAGCGGCGGACGGGUGAGUAACACGUGGGUAACCUGCCUGUAAGACUGGGAUAACUCCGGGAAACCGGGGCUAAUACCGGAUGCUUGAUUGAACCGCAUGGUUCAAUCAUAAAAGGUGGCUUUUAGCUACCACUUACAGAUGGACCCGCGGCGCAUUAGCUAGUUGGUGAGGUAACGGCUCACCAAGGCGACGAUGCGUAGCCGACCUGAGAGGGUGAUCGGCCACACUGGGACUGAGACACGGCCCAGACUCCUACGGGAGGCAGCAGUAGGGAAUCUUCCGCAAUGGACGAAAGUCUGACGGAGCAACGCCGCGUGAGUGAUGAAGGUUUUCGGAUCGUAAAACUCUGUUGUUAGGGAAGAACAAGUACCGUUCGAAUAGGGCGGUACCUUGACGGUACCUAACCAGAAAGCCACGGCUAACUACGUGCCAGCAGCCGCGGUAAUACGUAGGUGGCAAGCGUUGUCCGGAAUUAUUGGGCGUAAAGCGCGCGCAGGCGGUUUCUUAAGUCUGAUGUGAAAGCCCCCGGCUCAACCGGGGAGGGUCAUUGGAAACUGGGGAACUUGAGUGCAGAAGAGGAGAGUGGAAUUCCACGUGUAGCGGUGAAAUGCGUAGAGAUGUGGAGGAACACCAGUGGCGAAGGCGACUCUCUGGUCUGUAACUGACGCUGAGGCGCGAA